UGCUAUGUUGUGUGCUGGGAUCUCCUGGGAUUGAAGACAGUCGCAAGUUUGAGGCGCAUUUGACUUCAGCUGCUGCUUUUGUGGAGGGUGGAAUUCAAGAUGCUUGUGAUGAUGCUUGCAGCAUCUGUCUUGAAGCCUUUUGUGACAAUGAUCCUUCCACCAUAUGGACCCUGAUUUUUAUCACGUGUUCAAUUUUUUGGAUGACUAAAGUGAGAUAGAAUUAAAACUAUACAAUAAUAAAUUGAUGGAUUUGAACCCACUGCAGAUUUGCUAGCAGAGGUGUGUAGAAGAGAGAUAGAAGCAAACAUUAAACCUGAUCUAGAUAUCUAUGUUUAUAUGAUCAUAAGCUUUGUCCAAUUUGUCUUACUAAUGGGAAGGAUAUGGCCUUUGGUUGUGGGCAUCAGACUUGUUGUAACUGUGGAGAGAAUCUUGAAUUCUGCCCCAUUUGCAGGAGCACAAUCGAUACUAGAAUAAAGCUUUACUAGUUAACUUGGCUCAAACCCUUGUUUCUGUGGCACAUGCAUACAUUGCUAGAGCAAGGGGACCUUGAUGGAUAUGUAGUUAGCCUUGUACACAAAACUACAUUCACGAUUUUGAACUAAUGUUCCAACUUAAGCAUACUUGUUUAUAGAGAGAGUGGGUUGCCUCCUUGUAUAUAUGAAGUUUGAUUUGUGUGUUGUGAGAAAAAGACUUGGUUCAUCUAGAUUUAUUUUGACGUAUGUAUAAUAGUAUUUGUUUUAGCUUUCUUUUCUUGUGUCUGAUUUUGGUUGAUGUAGCUCGUAGAGAAUCAGAAACUAGAUUUGUAUUAUUUGAUUUAAUUUUAUUUGAUUAGUUGCAUUUCAUGAAUUUUUAGCAUGAUAUAUCCACCUCAGAUUACAUUCUCAACCUAAUAAAAAAAAAGAGUAUAUAUAUUUGCACUUUAAUAACCAUGAAAGACAACGGUCACAUGAAUAAGUAUACUCCUGUACUCGAUGAUUGUGAAUAAAGAAGUUAAUUUAAGGCAUAAGCCCCUGUAGAAAAACAAAAUAAAAAUAAAAAUAAUUAAUUCACAAUGCAUCUAUUCCUCCUCAAGCACACUUUUCUAUUGAAAAUGUAAUUUCUAGUCUUGAUUACAUUAUUGGUGCUAUGUUUUAUUGUGUCUUUAUGUUUAUCUUCAUAUGCAUUAAUCAAAACAAAACCGGACUAUACUUUUAAAUAAACAAAAUAAAACAAUAUCAAGACAUUAAUUUUUACUUUCUUAGAGGAAAACUUUAUUCUUUAAUCAAGACAUUUUUCUAGCAAUAUCAAGUUGAUCUAGCAAUGUAAGAUUCCAUUAGAUCCUUUUCUUGUCUAUUGAUUAGUUCUUUAGAUAAGAUAUUUGAAUGCCCUCAACUGUGAUCAUGUUAGUAAAAGUAAUCAAUAAA